UAAACCUGCCUCUUAGCGGGGGAUAACUAUUGGAAACGAUAGCUAAUACCGCAUAAAAGUCGACAUUGCAUGAUGUUGACUUGAAAGGUGCAAUUGCAUCACUAAGAGAUGGACCUGCGUUGUAUUAGCUAGUUGGUGAGGUAACGGCUCACCAAGGCGACGAUACAUAGCCGACCUGAGAGGGUGAUCGGCCACACUGGGACUGAGACACGGCCCAG
rnacentral:rRNA from 1 species